CACACUGCUCCUUAUAGUUAUUCAGUGACCCAGGCUAAGCAAGACACUGCCCCCGCACCAUCUUUAGUGUGUGGUACCCUCUGUUCCAGGUGGAGAAAGGUCUGGUGGGUGGGUCACAUCGCUUUGCCAUGGUCCAGUGGCUGGGCCUGAGGAACAUGGCCAGGUCUACUUGCAGAGAAGGCUGAGAAGCAUGGAAUAGCCACCUGCCAAAAAGAAGGAUGGGGGAUGGAUUUUGGAGCACCCUCUCUCAAAGAGCACCCCCACACUAUGCAGACUCUGUGGGAAGAUGACCAAUCCACCUCCAACUCUGUGAAGACCAAAUGCAGUAAAAGAUAUUUAGGCAUUUCAAAAAACCAGAAAUGGAAAGAUGGUUUUGCUCUAAGGAGAUCCGCACGCUGAUAGCAAUCACCGAGCCUCUCCGAGCCUGUGUCCUCCGGGAAAUGGGCACAACAGCAGGGCCAGCUCGCAGGCUCCAGGGGGCAAGACCAAGACACCAUGUGCUUCAGCUCCUGUCCUGUUUCCUGUCCCAUAAGUUAACGUGCUUAAGCAGCCUGCCUUGCAGAAGUUUCCCUCCUCAUCCCUGGCUCUAGGUGCAUCGUCAGCUUCGGGGCUGAAUGCAUGACCUACGUCGACUUGGAAGCAGCAACUCCAGGAGCUUCUGGAAGUCUGCUUGAAUGCUAACUCCCCAUGGGACAGCAGGCCGCACAAGUGGCCCCCGUGCACCGUCAGAGCCCACACACUGCAGAGAGUCACCGGCCUCCUCUCACCUGAGGAAUCUUAUCACUUCCUCCCCCUGCUGGAGCUCCGUCUGAGCAUCUGAAUGAAUCCUGUGCUUGUGCGCUGAGCGAGAGAAUCAGAAGCUCCCAAAGCACCCAGAGGAGGAGAGAGAGCACAGUGCGUGGUCGCCGAGGUGCCAGGUAUUUGCCAUGCCCAUGAGUGAACCCCUUGGACCCCCAUAGGCUCCCCAGCUACACAGUAGCCCCCCAUCCAGGCCCCACCAGGCCCUUCCUCACACCUCUGGGUGGAGCCCAACUCGCUAGAAAGACCUCUCAGGGCUUUAAAAUAGGUUCAGGAAUCUUUGACGUGGAAAGCCGGCUCCCUGGGGGUGGAAACUAACCGCUUUCCCUUUCAGGGUGGGCGAGGCUUCUAGGCUCAUGUCUAAGAGGUAAAAGCUGGUGACCGAGUGACAUCUGAGAUGAGGUCAUGCUCACUGACUCCGGGGACAGCAGAUGCCAGGCCAGGUGGACACGCAGGCUGCUCUACGGAGGAGCCCAUGACAGGGGAGCUGAGCCAGCGGAGCCCCUGUCCCCUUCGGGGCUGCUGCCCAGCCUGGGCCACCCUCAUGAGGGCCACUGAGCCAGCCUCCAGCCCUCCUAGCCGUGGAAACCAGCAGUAAGCACGUGUCAUGCUAAAUGCUGGGGGAGUCUGUUACAUGGCAGAGCACAGGACGUCUGCGUUCCUAGGACAACCCCACCCCACACUGGCUGGUGCUCAGUGCCCCUGGACAUUCUUUCCUUCAUGUGCCCACUCACCACCUGGGUCUGCCCUGUGAGAGCCCCAUUGCCCCUAACACAGAGGUAAAAGCAACAUGUUCAGGGUUUUACCCGGCACACCCACCAUGCCCAGGACGGAGCAAGCACUCAGCGGCUCUCAUUCCAGGGCAGGUGUCCAUGGCACUGGUGACCACCCUGACCCUGUGGAUGACAGAGACCCCAAGGGCCACCACCCUAAUGGCUGAGAUGGAGCAGUGCUCCUGCAUCCCCGAAGGCGCUGUGCUCCAUUGCAGCUGAGAGCCAGGCUGUCUCUCCAGGGAUCCUCUGCGUCUCCUAAGACCCUGAGCGCAACCCACAGCCAGCCUCUCUAGGGCCAGACGCAAGUCCCUGUGGCUACUCUGAGAAGGACGUCACACUGCCUCCCGUCCCCUGUGAAGUUCUCCCAGGUGGAUGGAGACACAUCUGAUCUCCAGUGUGGGCGCCUGCUGGCCGUGCCCCGUGUCCAUGUGAGGAACAGGUGUGCACUGGGAGCACAAGAAGGGCUCUUGGAGGAAGGGCCAAAGCUGAGCAGGAUAUCCGGUAGAUAUCAUUUUUCAGUUAAUUUUUAAAAAUCCAAGCCAUCCUUUCCCUAACCUGCAGCAUCUGCCACUACGUUGGAAGAGGACACACACUACAUUAAGAUUCUCUUCCUUCACGGAGCGCGUGGAGGCUGUUUGGGGCUCUCAUGCCUUUCCCAGAGCUUAGCCAGGGUGCUGCCGGGUCACCGCUCUCUCUGUGCCGGCUCCGCUAACAAGUGUGGAUCUGGGGCAGAGUCUGAAUGCUCCUGCCUGGAAAGUAGGCCAGCAUUUGUCACUGCCGUGGCCCGCCCCGGAAAGCGGGUCUGAGCUUGGCAGUGUGACUGUGGACGUUGUCACGCUGGAUCCUCGUGGCUGCUGAAUCCUCGUCACUCUGAACUUCGUGGGCAUGCACCGGGUUUAUGUUCAUCUCAAAGAUGAGGAAAACAAGGUACGGGGGGCGGGGGGGGAGCACAUGGCUUUCCAGGUCACUGCGCUCCUGAGCUGCAGAUAUGGGCUUGAACUCAGAGUGUCUGAUUCCCAUGUGGCACGUUUUGUGCCAAUUGGGCUGAUCCUUCUGUGGAAUUGUCACUUAUUACAUAAACCAGAUUUUAGGCAGAUGCCUACAGGAGGUUAGUUCUGUGGUGCUAUGACUCUGAUUGAAAACAGAACCGCUUAAUGAUAAGGGACAAGAUUAGCCCAGGUGGCACGUAAGGACGCAGCGUUGGAAGGGGUGGCCCCAAGCCAGGCCCGCGGCUCCACUGAGGACUCACCAAACUGCCCACGCCAGGGACCCAUCCCCAUCUGUGAAGUUCUCAUGACCAUAGUGCUGGGUGGGGGUCAUAUGGGGGAUUUUGAGUUAAUUUGCACACGUUGCUUACAGUGCUUGGGACAGUAUAAGCAUUGGUUCAGAUGAACCUUUAUUAUUUUACAGUGACAUUGGUUUAGACACAGAGACAACUGGUUGUGUUUUUCAGUUUUGCACUCAUCCCCGAUGUGUGUAGAUACCAGUCAUUGCUUGAGGUUUAAAAUCUGGUGGCGGCAUGGCCCGAUCACAGUAAUGUGCAGGACAUUGUCUUCUCCUUGUAGGAAAGUCAAAAGUCAUAUUAUUUAUGUUCAAAUUUGGAUUUAAAACAUGAUUUAGGGGUGCCUGGAUGGCUCAGUUGGUGAAGUGUCUGCCUUUGGCUCAGGUUAUGAUCUCAGGGUCCUGGAAUUGAGUUCACCUUUGGGCUCCCUGCUCAGUGGGGAGUCUGCUUCUCCCUCUCCCUCUGCUCCCCUCUCCGCCUGUGUUCACAUGUUCUCUCUCUCUUAAAUAAAUAAAAUCGUAAAACAAACA
ensembl:lncRNA